GCGGCCGGCCUUCGGUGGGUGCGGAUGGCCGGACUGGCUCCGGGUGGAGCCGGGAGCGCAGGCUCCGUGGGUCCCGGUCAAGGAGCGCGGGCCGAGUGGGGGAGGGGGCUCCGGAGCCCCAGAGCUUCCUCUCCCCAAUUCCCAGGCGCUGGGCGCUGGGGAGGGGCGUCGGAGCAGAAGGACCUCGGGCUCCGGGGCCCAGGCGCCUUGCCCGCCGCUCUGGGGGCCCGAAGCACUGGGUAGCGCGAGGGAAGAGGGCUGAGCUGAGCUGGGGGACGUCUGGAGGGGUGGCGCGCGGGGGGGCGCCAGCACCCUGGAUCUCUCAGAGAGUGGAGGAGUUUGGGAGGAACGGGUCAGCCCGCGGGGCCCCCCUGGCCGCUCCGACUUCCGGAUCUGGGGUUUGGAGCCCGUACAGUCCGAGGUCACAAAAUUGCCACCACCGCGUCUGCUUUAAUCCUGGGCCAGGCAACUAACUGGCAAGACUGCGUACAGGUGGUGCGGGGAGAAAGGGCGCUUGAGCUGGAGAGUGUGUUUCUCCUACGAGGACCUACUGGGCGUUGAUUUACAAAAUCAGCCCCAACCCCAGCAGUCUCAACUCCACCCGGAGAGGUGCCUGAGAGACUCAGUCCUUGCUUGCCGUUACCCGGAAAGCCAAGAGGUCCGCAAGCCUCCCGGUUGGAGCAGCUGCACCCACUCGGCCUUGCUCGGCUCCGUGAGGCCAGUUUGUCCUGGGGGGCCCCCAGGACUUCGGGGGGCGGGGGCUGGCCCGGCAGCCCGCGGUUUGGGCCUCCCCGCAAGCUACAAUCCGAGGCGCUUGGCGCGGGCGGCCGAGGAGGGCGCAGGGGAGUGCAGCACGUAGGCGGGGAGGCCGCGAAGCCCUUCAAGGACCCCGAUUACUUUCCUUUGAAUGAAAAACAACAACAACAACAACAACUGCUCCCUCCCUGCGCCCCCGCCCCCCGCCUUAGCCUCCGGGGACCCGCGCUCCGAGCAAUUGUCGCCCCGGACAGUAAACACAGCUCAGUUGCCUCAACUUUCUCCGCACAUAAAAGUUCCUGGCGUGCGGGGAAAUUUGAAUAUUUGAUCAGCCCCUUUGAGUGACCCUCAUUAGCUUGGCGCCCUGCUAAGGCCCCGGCAUUGCAAGAAAGCUGCUGGGCAAGGCAUUUGUAUGCCUUGUUAGCGCCGCUUAAUGAAGCUGCCCCGACGGCUCAAAGGCGGCCUCCGGGGCCGGCGCUGCGCACCUCUCGGCACCCCACUCUGCCUAAUGAGCCCCACCACCCGCGCAAGGCCCCUCCACCCCCCACAUCCUCAAACAAGAGAAGUUGGCUCUGUCUUGGCCCACCAUACCUCCCACUGCCAGGCCCAGGAGAGUGGGCACAAACCGUUCCCAGCUGGCUGUGGUGACCCAGCCCCAAGAGUGAGAGGUGGGAGGCUUGGGGGUUGUGAGUGAUAGGGGCUGGGGAGGAGGGCUGUGGCCUCAGGUCUAGUCCAGGGAGUGCACUGGCAACCUCUCAAGAGGGCCAAUUUCCAAUCGUUUACUCCAGGUGCAUUCGGACCAAUGCUGGGGUGGCAGAGGGCAGAUGUCUGGGGGAAGGUCAAUUUUCAAUCUCCCUCCCUUCCCAAGUUUCUUUGGGCUCCACUGCCUAGGAGACCAUCAAAUCCUUUGCAGAGAUCCCCUUGGGAGAGCCAGAACUGGUAUGCUAGGGCUUGAAUUUGAGAAGGAGUGGGUACACUCAACUCCUCAGACAUUGUUGUCCCUCCAACCCGGAUCCCAAACAGUCAAAUGCAGUUGGCACUACUAGGAAAGGCAAUGGCACAACAGCCUACCUUGUCCCACUUCCCCUGCCCCAGAACACCAAGCCUUCUGUGGUCUCUCUUUAAUCCUGCUUCCAGUCCUUGGGAAGCUUAUAGAAAGCAUUUUAGGCAGGGCCACCCUUUUCAGGACCAACUGGCUGCUAGGGCAAGAUGGUACUAAAACAGACCUGAGGGCGAGGGAGAGAGGGAGAACUCUUUAAGGUAGGGGCACCAAAGCCACCAUCUACUUCUCCUUUUCUCAGUGGGGCAAGUGACACGGUUGGCCAGCAAAUCUAAGGAGCCCUAUUAAAAGUUGUGUUUCAGUUCUCUGGAAAAGGAGUAGACUCUCUCUGCUCCAUCUCUCCUCCAAUGCUCAUUUCCCUUGGACAGUUGUCACUCAAGGUCCCUCCUUGCACACCCAGUUUUUGGGUUUUUAAGCAUCACUUUUGGGGGGGGGAGAGAUUAAUGCACUGUGUUUAGGAAACAAGCUUCUCUCAGAUCCAUGCUCUGGGCCUUCUGGAGGUACCCCCCACAGUCCCUCAGAUAUACAGCAGGCUGGCCAGGUGCCUAGCCUCAGGACCCCAUUCCAGGGUGGCCACCUCUAGGAAUGAGUGGCACCCAGCCAGCCCUCACCCUCUGCCAAAAAGCCAGCAAGGCCCUGGGAUAGCAGAGCCUUCAAAGUCCCUCUGGUCUGCUCCUCUUCCCUUUCCCCCAGCUCAAUCGGCUUGCCCCACCCCAUUUCCCAUCCCAGGACCCCCUAAUUCAAGCCCAAACUGAGGAUCUUUAGGGAUCAUCUCUACCCCGGCAAGACGGUGCCUGGGCCUUGAUCCAUCCAAAGGGCAAAGCCGCCUGGCCGACCGGAGCGUAGAGCUGCUAGCCAGACUGGCCGCGCCAGGGGACUGCCAGAGAAAGAAUUUCCUUUUUCCAACUUCGGCUUUUGAUUUUGUGUGUCCACUUGGAGCAGCUCUGGAGCCGACUGACCCCAAAUGAAUUCCCAACAGGUGGCCGGGUUGCCCACGCACGCGGUCCUUGCAAGUACGGGGUCGCGAGCCUCAGCUCCCGAGCCGAGCCGCGAGCGGAGCCGCCCUCCUACUCCCCCCGCCCCCCCACUCCCCGGCUGUCAAGAGCCCUUCCGCCCGGCCACCGGUGCCCCGGGAAUGACUGGGGGAGCUGGGAGGGCCCCCAGGAAUGGGGCUCAGGGAGGAUCUUACCUGCGGAAAGGUAAGGGAAGCCGGGAGCAGGAAGCAGCGGCGGAUAAAUAUUCAUUAGGAAGUUCUGGAUCCCCGGCUGGGGACUGGGUCGGCAGUGAGAUGCCAGGUCUGCAGGUUCCGCGCGCGGGAUUGGAACUUCAACCUGCACUGGGAACAAACUGACCUGAAGUUAGAUUCAAGUCCGCAUCUUUCUCCCUCACGCUCAUGAGAAAACACAUCAACGGGAUUCCAGGAAGGCGCAAGUCCCCGCAGGAUCCCUCUGAGAAUCGCUUGCAGCGGCAGGCGAGCACGCACACACCCCCGUCCCCACCCCCGCACACCCCAGGCCCAAGCUUCUCGCGCCCCCAGACUGGAAGGCGAGCCGGCCCUCAAGGCGGCUCCCGACAGAGCUCCGUUUGCCUGCCUAGUCUGGGCGAACCUUCCAGACAGGAGCCACCAUGGUUUCCCUGCAGAAGAGGCAGGCACGCUGGACGCCAUGGUGCCCUCCCUUCUACUUCACCUCCCUUCCUGACUCUCUCUCUCUCUCUCUGAAAGCAGAGGGUAAGUUUGGGAAGAUUCUUUUAGACAAAAAAAUAGGAGAAAAAGAGGACGUUCUGGGCCAGCAAGUCGGAUGACCGCCCUCCAAGGAGCAGAGGAAGGUCUGUCUUCUGAAGAAGAGACGAACCAUCUGGAAACCACGGCAGGAGGACACUUUUAAACAAAUGUGGUUGCCCUAGAAAUGGAGGGGUUUGAGACCAUGAGUAGGGAAGAAUUUCUUUCCUUUGGAGAAGACUGUGUCCUUUUAAUUUCCUCCCGAAUAUACACUUAAUUCCUGGAAAUUGUAGUAAGAGUUUGUUCUUUAUAGAUGUUCUAAACAAUAAAGAGUGAAAAUCA